rnacentral:rRNA from 1 species
GACGUGGGGCGCGAGCGUUGUCCGGAUUUAUUGGGCGUAAAGAGCUCGUAGGCGGUCUGUCGCGUCGGCUGUGAAAACUCGGGGCUCAACCCCGAGCCUGCAGUCGAUACGGGCAGACUAGAGUGCGGUAGGGGAGACUGGAAUUCCUGGUGUAGCGGUGAAAUGCGCAGAUAUCGGGAGGAACACCAGUGGCGAAGGCGGCUACCUGGCCCACUCUUGACGCUGACGGCGCGAAAGCUGAGGGGAGCAAACGGGGG